GUGCCAGCCGCCGCGGUAAUACAGAGGUCCCAAGCGUUGUUCGGAUUCACUGGGCGUAAAGGGUGCGUAGGUGGUGAGGUAAGUUGGGUGUGAAAGCUCAGGGCUCAACCCUGAAACGGCAUUCAAAACUACCUUGCUGGAGGGUCGGAAGGGAGACUGGAAUUCUCGGUGUAGCGGUGAAAUGCGUAGAGAUCGAGAGGAACACCAGUGGCGAAAGCGAGUCUCUGGACGACUCCUGACACUGAGGCACGAAAGCUAGGGGAGCAAACAGGAUUAGAAACCCCCGUAGUCC
rnacentral:rRNA from 1 species